ACUCUAAGCGGUGGAUCACUCGGCUCAUGGGUCGAUGAAGAACGCAGCAAACUGUGCGUCAUCGUGUGAACUGCAGGACACAUGAACAUCGACAUUUUGAACGCAUAUCGCAGUCCAUGCUGUUAUGUACUUUAAUUAAUUUUAUAGUGCUGCUUGGACUACAUAUGGUUGAGGGUUGUAAGACUAUGCUAAUUAAGUUGCUUAUAAAUUUUUAUAAGCAUAUGGUAUAUUAUUGGAUAAAUAUAAUAAUUUUUAUUCAUAAUAUUAAAAAAUAAAUGAAAAACAUUAUCUCACAUUUGAAUGUGAAAAACGAAGAGAAAUAUUUUCUUUUUCAAUCAAAUAAUACUGAGAAAUGUCUAGCAUAAAAAAUUGAAAUAUUUUUCAUCUAGAAUUGUCUCUUAUUAAUGAUUCGGAAAUAGAAAAAUCUUGGUUAUGUUAUUAUUCUUCGUUGGUUCGUUAAAAAUGGAUAAAUAAAAACUUUGCAUACAAGAAUUAAUAAAAAUGUUAUAACGAAUUUAAUUAAAUGUUUUAUCAUUAUAUAUAAAGAAUUUAUGGCAAGAUAAAGUUAUAUACAACCUCAACUCAUAUGGGACUACCCCCUGAAUUUAAGCAUAUUAAUUAGGGGAGGAAAAGAAACUAACAAGGAUUUUCUUAGUAGCGGCGAGCGAAAAGAAAACAGUUCAGCACUAAGUCACUUUGUCUAUAUGGCAAAUGUGAGAUGCAGUGUAUGGAGCGUCAAUAUUCUAGUAUGAGAAAUUAACGAUUUAAGUCCUUCUUAAAUGAGGCCAUUUACCCAUAGAGGGUGCCAGGCCCGUAUAACGUUAAUGAUUACUAGAUGAUGUUUCCAAAGAGUCGUGUUGCUUGAUAGUGCAGCACUAAGUGGGUGGUAAACUCCAUCUAAAACUAAAUAUAACCAUGAGACCGAUAGUAAACAAGUACCGUGAGGGAAAGUUGAAAAGAACUCUGAAUAGAGAGUUAAACAGUACGUGAAACUGCUUAGAGGUUAAGCCCGAUGAACCUGAAUAUCCGUUAUGGAAAAUUCAUCAUUAAAAUUGUAAUAUUUAAAUAAUAUUAUGAGAAUAGUGUGCAUUUUUUCCAUAUAAGGACAUUGUAAUCUAUUAGCAUAUACCAAAUUUAUCAUAAAAUAUAACUUAUAGUUUAUUCCAAUUAAAUUGCUUGCAUUUUAACACAGAAUAAAUGUUAUUAAUUUGAUAAAGUGCUGAUAGAUUUAUAUGAUUACAGUGCGUUAAUUUUUCGGAAUUAUAUAAUGGCAUAAUUAUCAUUGAUUUUUGUGUUUAUUAUAUGCACUUGUAUGAUUAACAAUGCGAAAGAUUCAGGAUACCUUCGGGACCCGUCUUGAAACACGGACCAAGGAGUCUAACAUAUGUGCAAGUUAUUGGGAUAUAAACCUAAUAGCGUAAUUAACUUGACUAAUAAUGGGAUUAGUUUUUUAGCUAUUUAUAGCUAAUUAACACAAUCCCGGGGCGUUCUAUAUAGUUAUGUAUAAUGUAUAUUUAUAUUAUUUAUGCCUCUAACUGGAACGUACCUUGAGCAUAUAUGCUGUGACCCGAAAGAUGGUGAACUAUACUUGAUCAGGUUGAAGUCAGGGGAAACCCUGAUGGAAGACCGAAACAGUUCUGACGUGCAAAUCGAUUGUCAGAAUUGAGUAUAGGGGCGAAAGACCAAUCGAACCAUCUAGUAGCUGGUUCCUUCCGAAGUUUCCCUCAGGAUAGCUGGUGCAUUUUAAUAUUAUAUAAAAUAAUCUUAUCUGGUAAAGCGAAUGAUUAGAGGCCUUAGGGUCGAAACGAUCUUAACCUAUUCUCAAACUUUAAAUGGGUAAGAACCUUAACUUUCUUGAUAUGAAGUUCAAGGUUAUGAUAUAAUGUGCCCAGUGGGCCACUUUUGGUAAGCAGAACUGGCGCUGUGGGAUGAACCAAACGUAAUGUUACGGUGCCCAAAUUAACAACUCAUGCAGAUACCAUGAAAGGCGUUGGUUGCUUAAAACAGCAGGACGGUGAUCAUGGAAGUCGAAAUCCGCUAAGGAGUGUGUAACAACUCACCUGCCGAAGCAACUAGCCCUUAAAAUGGAUGGCGCUUAAGUUGUAUACCUAUACAUUACCGCUAAAGUAGAUGAUUUAUAUUACUUGUGAUAUAAAUUUUGAAACUUUAGUGAGUAGGAAGGUACAAUGGUAUGCGUAGAAGUGUUUGGCGUAAGCCUGCAUGGAGCUGCCAUUGGUACAGAUCUUGGUGGUAGUAGCAAAUAAUCGAAUGAGACCUUGGAGGACUGAAGUGGAGAAGGGUUUCGUGUGAACAGUGGUUGAUCACGAGUUAGUCGGUCCUAAGUUCAAGGCGAAAGCCGAAAAUUUUCAAGUAAAACAAAAAUGCCUAACUAUAUAAACAAAGCGAAUUAUAAUACACUUGAAUAAUUUUGAACGAAAGGGAAUACGGUUCCAAUUCCGUAACCUGUUGAGUAUCCGUUUGUUAUUAAAUAUGGGCCUCGUGCUCAUCCUGGCAACAGGAACGACCAUAAAGAAGCCGUCGAGAGAUAUCGGAAGAGUUUUCUUUUCUGUUUUAUAGCCGUACUACCAUGGAAGUCUUUCGCAGAGAGAUAUGGUAGAUGGGCUAGAAGAGCAUGACAUAUACUGUUGUGUCGAUAUUUUCUCCUCGGACCUUGAAAAUUUAUGGUGGGGACACGCAAACUUCUCAACAGGCCGUACCAAUAUCCGCAGCUGGUCUCCAAGGUGAAGAGUCUCUAGUCGAUAGAAUAAUGUAGGUAAGGGAAGUCGGCAAAUUAGAUCCGUAACUUCGGGAUAAGGAUUGGCUCUGAAGAUUGAGAUAGUCGGGCUUGAUUGGGAAACAAUAACAUGGUUUAUGUGCUCGUUCUGGGUAAAUAGAGUUUCUAGCAUUUAUGUUAGUUACUUGUUCCCCGGAUAGUUUAGUUACGUAGCCAAUUGUGGAACUUUCUUGCUAAAAUUUUUAAGAAUACUAUUUGGGUUAAACCAAUUAGUUC
rnacentral:rRNA from 1 species